rnacentral:rRNA from 1 species
UACGUAGGGUGCAAGCGUUGUCCGGAAUCAUUGGGCGUAAAGCGCGCGUAGGUGGUCAUGUAAGUCCGCUGUGAAAGUCAAAGGCUCAACCUUUGAAAGCCGGUGGAUACUGCAUGACUAGAGUACGGAAGAGGCGAGUGGAAUUCCUGGUGUAGCGGUGGAAUGCGCAGAUAUCAGGAGGAACACCAAUAGCGAAGGCAGCUCGCUGGGACGUACUGACACUGAGGCGCGAAAGCGUGGGGAGCGAACAGG